AGAGUUUGAUCAUGGCUCAGAACGAACGCUGGCGGCAGGCUUAACACAUGCAAGUCGAACGCUUCACCUUCGGGUGGGGAGUGGCAGACGGGUGAGUAACGCGUGGGAACGUACCCUUUGGUUCGGGAUAACCCAGGGAAACUUGGGCUAAUACCGGAUGCUCCGGAAACGGCAAAGAUUUAUCGCCAAAGGAUCGGCCCGCGUCGGAUUAGCUAGUUGGUGGGGUAACGGCCUACCAAGGCGACGAUCCGUAGCUGGUCUGAGAGGAUGAUCAGCCACACUGGGACUGAGACACGGCCCAGACUCCUACGGGAGGCAGCAGUGGGGAAUAUUGGACAAUGGGCGCAAGCCUGAUCCAGCCAUGCCGCGUGAGUGAAGAAGGCCUUAGGGUUGUAAAGCUCUUUCAGCGGGGACGAUAAUGACGGUACCCGCAGAAGAAGCCCCGGCUAACUUCGUGCCAGCAGCCGCGGUAAUACGAAGGGGGCUAGCGUUGUUCGGAAUUACUGGGCGUAAAGCGCGCGUAGGCGGAUAUUUAAGUCAGGGGUGAAAUCUCAGGGCUCAACCCUGGAACUGCCUUUGAUACUGGGUAUCUGGAGUUCGGGAGAGGUGAGUGGAAUUCCGAGUGUAGAGGUGAAAUUCGUAGAUAUUCGGAGGAACACCAGAAGCGAAGGCGGCUCACUGGCCCGAUACUGACGCUGAGGCGCGAAAGCGUGGGGAGCAAACAGGAUUAGAUACCCUAGUAGUCC
rnacentral:rRNA from 1 species